CCUACGGGAGGCAGCAGUGGGGAAUAUUGCACAAUGGGGGAAACCCUGAUGCAGCGACGCCGCGUGAGUGAAGAAGUAUUUCGGUAUGUAAAGCUCUAUAAGCAGGGAAGAAAAGGACGGUACCUGAUUCAGAAGCCCCGGCUAACUACGUGCCAGCCGCCGCGGUAAUACGUAGGGGGGAAGCGUUAUCCCGAUUUACUGGGUGUAAAGGGAGCGUAGACGGCGGGACAAGUCCGGAGUGAAAGGGCGGGGCUUAACCCCGGAACUGCUUUUGAAACUGUGCAGCUAGAGUGCAGGAGAGGUAAGUGGAAUUACUAGUGUAGCGGUGAAAUGCGUAGAUAUUAGGAGGAACACCAGUGGCGAAGGCGGCUUACUUGACUGUAACUGACUUUGAGGCUCGAAAGCGUGGGGAGCAAACAGCAUUAGAUACCCUUGUAGUC
rnacentral:rRNA from 1 species